GGUCACGGACGCCGGAUGUCAACGCACAGCGCGUGUGUCUUUGUUCAGCGUGUUAUCUUGUAGAAGCGCGCCGAAAGUCGUUAAGUGCGUGCCCACCCGUGCACCUGAGGGAUGGGGUUCGUCAAGGAAAAUGGUCACGGACGCCAGAUGUCAACGCACAGCGCGUGUGUCUUUGUUCAGCGUGUUAUCUUGUAGAAGCGC
rnacentral:lncRNA from 1 species